rnacentral:rRNA from 1 species
AGCAUGGAUCCGCGCUGCAUUCAGCUCAGUUGGUCAAGGUCAACAGGCUUCACCAAAGGCCAACGCAUGCAUAGCCGACCUGAGAGGGUGAUCGGCCACACUGGAACUGAGACACGGUCCAGACUCCUACGGGAGGCAGCAGUAGGGAAUCUUCCGCAAUGGGCGCAAAGCCUGACGGCAGCAACGCCGCGUGCAGUGAUGAAGGUCUUCGGAUCGUAAAACUCUGUUAUUAGGGAAGAACAUAUGUGUAAGUAACUGUGCACAUCUUGACGGUACCUAAUCAGAAAGCCACGGCUAACUACGUGCCAGCAGCCGCGGUAAUACGUAGGUGGCAAGCGUUAUCCGGAAUUAUUGGGCGUAAAGCGCGCGUAGGCGGUUUUUUAAGUCUGAUGUGAAAGCCCACGGCUCAACCGUGGAGGGUCAUUGGAAACUGGAAAACUUGAGUGCAGAAGAGGCAAGUGGAAUUCCAUGUGUAGCGGUGAAAUGCGCAGAGAUAUGGAGGAACACCAGUGGCGAAGGCGACUUUCUGGUCUGUAACUGACGCUGAUGUGUGAAAGCGUGGGGAUCAAACAGGAUUAGAUACCCUGGUAGUCCACGCCGUAAACGAUGAGUGCUAAGUGUUAGGGGGUUUCCGCCCCUUAGUGCUGCAGCUAACGCAUUAAGCACUCCGCCUG